rnacentral:rRNA from 1 species
AGAGUUUGAUUAUGGCUCAGGAUGAACGCUAGCGACAGGCCUAACACAUGCAAGUCGAACGGGAUUGGGAGCUUGCUCCCAUGAGAGUGGCGCACGGGUGAGUAACGCGUAUGCAACCUACCUGUAACUGGGGGAUAGCUCCCUGAAAGGGGAAUUAACACCGCAUAAGACCACGCCAUCACCUGAUGGAGGGGUAAAAUAUUUAUAGGUUACAGAUGGGCAUGCGUGACAUUAGUUUGUUGGUGAGGUAACGGCUCACCAAGACUACGAUGUCUAGGGGUUCUGAGAGGAAGGUCCCCCACACUGGUACUGAGACACGGACCAGACUCCUACGGGAGGCAGCAGUGAGGAAUAUUGGUCAAUGGACGCAAGUCUGAACCAGCCAUGUCGCGUGCAGGACGACGGCCCUAUGGGUUGUAAACUGCUUUUGUACGGGAAGAAAAAUGACCACGUGUGGUCACUUGCCGGUACCGUACGAAUAAGGAUCGGCUAACUCCGUGCCAGCAGCCGCGGUAAUACGGAGGAUCCGAGCGUUAUCCGGAUUUAUUGGGUUUAAAGGGUGCGUAGGCGGAAUGGUAAGUCAGGGGUGAAAUACUGCAGCU